rnacentral:misc_RNA from 1 species
AACGCACCUUGCACCCAUUGGUAUUCCAAAGGGUAUGCUCGUUUGAGUGUCAUUGUACUCUCACACUCUAAUUAAAUUUGGAGAAGUGGACUUUGGGUGUUGCCGCUUUGCUGUGGCUCAUCUUAAAUGUGCUAGUGCAACUCAUGGUUGGAUAUAGUACAGCGUGAUAAGUAUCUUCGCUGGCACCUCAUGAAGAGGGUGUCCGAUUGGGAGCUCUGUGCUUCAAACUGUCCUGUCUGGGACAAUCUCUGACAACUUGGCCUCAAAUCGAGUAGGACUACCCGCUGAACUUAA